AGUGAAAUGAUUGGUUACAGACGGCGAUAUGAUUGGUUGUCGCAACCAGGAAUUUCCUCCACUCACAAGUGUCAGGGGGGCCAAGCAGUAACCGAAAGGUUGCAGGAUCAAAUGAAGCUCAUGAUGAUGAGCUUUGUCCUCCUGAGGAGCUGAAGCACUGGAGCUUGCCUGGCCCUGAACAUGAAUUCUGCAGAGGACAGUUCUUCCUCUUCCACACAGAAGACCUCGGUCUGGGCCGACCAGCAAACAGCCACUCCACAGCUGGGAGUUAGCCCUCCGUCUCCCACACAGUGCUUUGGGGAUGGAGAAGGAACCAGCUCUGCUAACCCAUCUGAAACACCCAUUUCAACCAACCCUGCAACCCCAUCUGAAACACCAGUUUCAACCAACCCUUCUAGCCCAUCUCAAACACUUGUUUCACCCCAAAAAAAGAGGACAGCAGAGAAAGGAACCUUUGACGCAUCACAGCCACAGGGUGAACGUCGCAAGAGGGGGAGGCCACGCAAACACAAGAAACCCCAGACUGACACAGAACACCAGAUCCAUCAGGCCCAGUCCCCGACAGCUACACAUCCAUGUUUACAGCCAGAGGACCAAACAGAGGCUGUGACACUGACACCCAACUUACCUGUGAUACCUGAGGACAGGUGUCAGUCACCUGAUGCCCAAACAAAGGUUGAGACACAGCUCCAGUCACCCAGCUCACCUGUGCCUGAGGAUAAGUGCCAGUCACCUGAGGCCACCUUUGAACCACCAUGCCCCACCUUGGACUUACAGAGCACCAAUAAGGGACAGAGUAAGAACGGGCCCCAUCUCUCCAGUGCUUCUGUUGGACAAGGAGACCUAACAGGCCCUAAUGUUCUAACCACUGAUGGAUACACAUACUCACAGGCCAGGGAGAUGGGGGCUGAACCCAGCCAGAAUGACAGUAUCACUGCCACUGGGAUAUUUUUAAGCAAAUGUGCCAAAGGGCAAAGGACUCUGUGCCAGUCACCACAGAAUCUGAAAGAUGGGAGAAAGGCGGCUAAAAAAUCACAAAUUCAUAAGGUCGACCAGCAACAGGAGCGUGAGACUGUGACAAAUGGGGAAAAUACAUCUAAACCCUUACCGACUAUUAAGGUAGGACAGGAGAAUUGCCUGACACAAAAGACUGGGCGAAAAAGGAAAUAUACAAAAAAAUCACAGAGCCAUAAGGGAGACAAGCCACAGGAGACUGUGAGAAAUGGGAAAAAGACAACUAUGAAGUCACCAACUCAUCAGGUAGACCAGUCACAAGAGUUUGUAACAAAAAGGAAAAAGGUGUCUAAAAUAUCUUCAACCCACAAGGUAGACCACUCACAAGAAACUGUGAAAAAGAGGAAAUAUACAAAAAAAUCACAGACUCAGGAGGAGACUGGAAAAAAUACAUUGAUGAAAUCACUGACGAAUAAGGUAAACAAGGUGGCAUCGAAAAAAUCACAAAGCCAUACGGUAGAACAGUCACUGGGGAUUGACCAAUCACAAGAGACGGUGAGAAAGAGGAACUACACAAAAAAAUCACAGAAGCAUAAGGAUGACUCACAUGAGACUGUGAGAAAUGGGGAAAAGACAUCCAGAAAAUCACAGAAGCACAAGGUUGAGUUACGAGACACGGAACAGUCACAGGAGGAGACUGUAAAAAAAAGGAAAUAUACUAAGAAAUCAAAGACCCACAAGGUAGACUCAGGAGUCCUCUCAUUACUCCCUGUGUUAUCUGCAGACCUCUCCCCCAACCUUUCCUCUCCCACAUUCAGCCCUCCUGGGCUCCCAAAGAGAAAAUAUACCAAAAAAUCGCAGACCCUCAAGGUAGACUCAGAUGUCCCAUCCUCACUCAUUGUACUGUCUGCAG
rnacentral:lncRNA from 1 species